AUUGAACGCUGGCGGCAGGCUUAACACAUGCAAGUCGAGCGGAGAGAGGUAGCUUGCUACUGAUCUUAGCGGCGGACGGGUGAGUAAUACUUAGGAAUCUGGCUAUUAGUGGGGGACAACAUUUCGAAAGGGAUGCUAAUACCGCAUACGUCCUACGGGAGAAAGCAGGGGAUCUUCGGACCUUGCGCUAAUAGAUGAGCCUAAGUCGGAUUAGCUAGUUGGUGGGGUAAAGGCCUACCAAGGCGACGAUCUGUAGCGGGUCUGAGAGGAUGAUCCGCCACACUGGGACUGAGACACGGCCCAGACUCCUACGGGAGGCAGCAGUGGGGAAUAUUGGACAAUGGGGGAACCCUGAUCC
rnacentral:rRNA from 1 species